rnacentral:rRNA from 1 species
GCAUAACGCGAAGAACCUUACCAAGGCUUGACAUGCAUCUCUAAGCGCGUGAAAGCGCGUGACCCUUCGGGGGAUUUGCACAGGUGCUGCAUGGCCGUCGUCAGCUCGUGUCGUGAGAUGUUGGGUUAAGUCCCGCAACGAGCGCAACCCUUGUGACUAGUUGCCAGCGCGUCAUGGCGGGAACUCUAGUCAGACUGCCCAGAUCAACUGGGAGGAAGGUGGGGACGACGUCAGGUCAGUAUGGCCCUUACGCCUUGGGCUGCACACGUACUACAAUGCCCAGUACAAUGAGAACCGAGACCGCGAGGUGGAGGAAAUCUGCAAAACUGGGCCCAGUUCGGAUUGGAGGCUGCAACUCGCCUCCAUGAAGUUGGAAUCGCUAGUAAUGGCGCAUCAUCUACGGCGCCGUGAAUACGUUCCCGGGUCUUGUACACACCG